AGAAGCACUUGGCCACUGACAGAAAGAGUGAAUUCCUGUGACUGUGCUGGGAGACUAAAAGCAAGGUAGAGACAACACAUCUGUGCUGACCAUCUGCAGGCGGAAUAGGAUUUGGUGAGAACAGGUCUGGAAAACAAGGAUGCUAAUUCUCACCAGGUUGGAGAGGAAAGACUGCCAGAGUGAAUGUAAACCACACAUAUAUUCGUGACUACAUGCAAGCCUGCUGAAAUCACAGGUGAGUACUUCUUAUUUAAUGCUCUCCAGUAUCAUUUACUGACCUUCAUGUGGCCUUAAACACUAGACGAUUAACAUGUAUGAGAUCUCCUUUCCUUUCUCCUUAUAUCCUCUCCAUUUCCUUCCCUAAUUUUUUUUCAGAACUCCAACUUCCACACUUCAAAUUUCUUUCUUAAAAGUGAAAAACAAAACAAAAGCACAUAUUUAUGGAAAUGAGUACUAUGCUCAUUGUGCUUGCCUUCUUAGAAGUUCAAUUCAAUUGAAACAAAAGAACCAAAAAUUAUAUGGUGAGGAAAAUAAAUGCUACCUUGCUCCAUCAUACCACAGAAAGAAUGUAACCCAUAACCAGAGUAAAACGAUGGACGAAAAAUAAGAUAAAUAAAGAAGUUUGAUUUGAGCGAAUUUCUUCUCUUGGCCAUCUAAGCCCCUCCACUCCAUCUUUUCUUCGGGCAGAUAUCCUAGAGCUAAGCCUGGUGGAUGUCUCAAGUAACCACGAGACAUACACUGAGCAGGGCAGAGUGCUGCCAUCUCCCACGCAGGACAGAUAAGCAGAGCGAGUUCUGACAGGUAGUUAUGGCGUGGGUGUCGGGACAUGGGAACCAGGUGGAAUGAUUUUCCUUUCUUCAUACCAAAUACCAAAGUGUGCCAAGGUCCAGAAAUUUGGAUGCCAGACUCUUAGUAAAAGAUGAACAAGAAGCAGGCUAGCAUAGAAAUCUUAUCUGUUCUCUUAUAAGCCUAGCCAAUAAAUUCACACUCUUUCCCCUAAUUUCCUACCUAUUUAAGAAAAUAUGUUACACAAGCACUCAACUUAAACUGACUAGUAGAACACAAUGGGAUUCUUCUCUUAUGAUCUAAUUCUAAGAUUCCCUUGGUUGUUCUCAUUCUGCCCCUUCCUGGCAAGUAAUGCUAGGCAACUUUUUAAUUUAUUUGAGACACAGCCAAGUUACCCCAUAUGCAAAAUAAACCCCAUUUCAACAGGGUCAUUGAGGAAACUGAGUGAGAAAAUAUGUGUAAAAUAGAUUCUGCAGCACCCCACAUGGUAGGUAGGUGCUCACAGAACAGCAGCUUCAUUUACUGUACGCAUUUUAAAAACCAAAGUUCAGUAUCCAAAUUUUUCUAGGACUUUAUGUUCAUACUGGUCUUACUUUAGGUAACAGAUGCAAACCACCCCCUAUCCCCUGCUACCACCCACUGCAAAUGUGCUGUCUGUGCAAUCAUGUUUUCCACUAAAAUUUCUUCUGGAAAUAUAAGUUAUACAAUCAUAGCCACAUAGUCAACCCAUGGGACACUUCAGCUUUGUUAAUGAGCAGUCUACUUAAAAUUUAACUAUCGUAUAUAAUCCUGGUAAUAGGUUUUCAAAUGACCAAGCCAUGUGAUCAUUAGACACUCCUUUCUUUAACUAUUUUUCCUAAUUAAGUGCAGAAUCUUUCUCCACUUAAUUCUUCCCAUGGUUGCAAAUUUUGAUUAUAUCAGGAGACAUAUUUGGUUAAAUACUCUCAGCUCCCACAGGAAUGCGUCGAUAUUGAUGAGCACUCUGAGGGGGCCUUCACUGAAUGAGAAAUUAUGCUCCCAAGACAGCGACUCUGAUCCCUUAACUUUAUCCCAUCACCUUCAUUUCAGGAGUAAAACUGUUUCAUAAAAGUAGAGAAAUUUAAGGGAAUAAGUAUAAACCAAAAAGUAUAAUAUCACCAAUUCUAUUUUCACGAGGACUUAAUGUUUAAACAGUUGUAUCUAUUACGCUGUUAUCACAGAUACAGGUAUUUCAAUCAUUAGCUCAUGAGCAUACAAGUCUUUGCCACCAGUUUUAGUCCCUGCCACUACUUGUCCACAUGUGUUGUGUCUGCUACAUUCAUUCAUUCACUCACUCAUUCAUGAUGAUCCUGGCCCUCAAGGAACCUGCAGCCUAUUUGGGGAGAGAGGUAAAUAAGGCAAUGAUUACCAAGAGCUAUGCCAAGGCUCUUGGCACUAUUGUGAUGUGAUACCCAAGCCCAGCUCUUGACUAACAACUGCAAAAGAGCCACCACGGGGAAGUGGGAGGAAGCAGUAAACUCCUUCCGGAAUUUAACAGGAAAAGGUUUUCUGAGAAAUCUAUGCACAUUCAAUCUACAUUUAAAAAAUAUUUAAUAGUGUUUAGAGGUCCUUGGAAGAACAAUGAAUAAAUAUUUUUGUCAAAGGAAGAUUUAAUGGGAAAACAUGUAACUUCCAUUCGAACUUCACUGGACUCUGAUUAAAGUAGCCCAGCCAAUGUAACCCAUGCAGAAAAAUGUCCCAAAGGAAUGGUUAUAAUAUAGCUUUCUGAUAAUGUUUGGUUUUAAAUACUUAAUCUAUGUCUGUAAAAACAUAUGCUUGUGAUUUAUUUGCUUCACUUAUUUUUCAUGUAUGUGUGAUAUCAAAUAGGUUCCCAGACAUAAAUGCUCCGUUACCGCAAAUCUGAGCUGUGGUUGUUACGCAUUCACUGUUCAGGUUUUAAGUACCUGGUGAGCAACUGUAGGCUAGGCAUUCUAUCAGAUUCUAGAAAGGCAUUAAUGAAUACGGACAUAAUGAAUGAUCACAAAAAUGCUAAUUACCAGACAUGAGCAAAAAAAAAAAAAAUCACACAUUCCAACAGAUAC